rnacentral:sRNA from 1 species
CUCGCUGGCCUACUCUCUCCUCCCGUACGGCGCCGGAAUCCCAGCUCCACUUACCAGGCCGCGGCUACCCUGCCGUCCCCCCCGACUCCCGCCACCCCGCUCUCCCAGGCUCUUCAGGAUCCAAGUCUGUAGGCCCUUUAAGGGGUCUAAUUGCCGUUUGCGGGGCCCUGGGACUUUGAUCCCAGACAGCGAGGAUCCGGAUGGCUUCCGUGCGGAUCCGAGAGGCCAAGGAGGGAGACUGUGGAGAUAUCCUGAGGCUGAUUCGGGUGAAGACUGCGGGCCGGAGCUAGCCGAAUUCGAAAAACUCUCGGAUCAGGUGAAGAUCAGUGAAGAAGGUGGGGGCUCAGCGCCCAGGUUCUGGCGGAGGCUGGGGAGGAAAUGAGGGAUGGGUUCCCCAGGCGACAGCUCCAGGCUGGGCAUACACCCACGUCCUCUUUCUCUAUAUCUUUGUCACAACUCCAAUCUCGGCAGCCCUGAGAGCAGAUGGCUUUGGAGACAAUCCUUUCUAUCACUGUUUGGUAGCAGAGAUUCUUCCAGCGCCCGGGAAGCUACUGGGGCCCUGCGUGGUGGGCUAUGGGAUAUACUAUUUCAUCUACAGUACAUGGAAGGGACGCACCAUUUAUCUGGAGGAUGUCUAUGUGAUGCCGGAAUAUCGGGGUCAAGGGAUUG